UACGUAGGGAGCAAGCGUUGUCCGGAAUCAUUGGGCGUAAAGAGCUCGUAGGCGGUUUGCUCAGUCGGAUGUGGAACCUCCAGGCUCAACCUGGAGCCGCCAUUCGAUACUGGCAUGACUAGAGUCCGGUAGGGGCCCACGGAACUCCUGGUGUAGCGGUGAAAUGCGCAGAUAUCAGGAAGAACACCGAUGGCGAAGGCAGUGGGCUGGGCCGGCACUGACGCUGAGGAGCGAAAGCGUGGGGAGCGAACAGG
rnacentral:rRNA from 1 species